rnacentral:rRNA from 1 species
AGCGAACGCUGGCGGCAGGCUUAACACAUGCAAGCCGAACGGGUCCUUCGGGACUAGUGGCAGACGGGUGAGUAACGCGUGGGAACGUGCCUUUCGGUUCGGAAUAACCCAGGGAAACUUGGAUUAAUACCGGAUACGCCCUUCGGGGGAAAGAUUUAUCGCCGAAAGAUCGGCCCGCGUCUGAUUAGCUAGUUGGUGAGGUAAUGGCUCACCAAGGCGACGAUCAGUAGCUGGUCUGAGAGGAUGAUCAGCCACACUGGGACUGAGACACGGCCCAGACUCCUACGGGAGGCAGCAGUGGGGAAUAUUGGACAAUGGGCGCAAGCCUGAUCCAGCCAUGCCGCGUGAGUGAUGAAGGCCUUAGGGUUGUAAAGCUCUUUUGUCCGGGAAGAUAAUGACUGUACCGGAAGAAUAAGCCCCGGCUAACUUCGUGCCAGCCGCCGCCGUAAAAC